rnacentral:rRNA from 1 species
GACGAACGCUGGCGGCGUGCCUAAUACAUGCAAGUCGAACGCUUCUUUCUCACCGAGUGCUUGCACUCACUGAGAAAGAGGAGUGGCGGACGGGUGAGUAACACGUGGGUAACCUGCCCAUCAGAAGGGGAUAACACUUGGAAACAGGUGCUAAUACCGUAUAACAAUCGGAACCGCAUGGUUCUGAUUUGAAAGGCGCUUUCGGGUGUCGCUGAUGGAUGGACCCGCGGUGCAUUAGCUAGUUGGUGAGGUAACGGCUCACCAAGGCAACGAGGCAGGGCGGCCCUGGGGGGGUGAACGGCCACCCUGGGACUGAGACACGGCCCAGACUCCUACGGGAGGCAGCAGUAGGGAAUCUUCGGCAAUGGACGAAAGUCUGACCGAGCAACGCCGCGUGAGUGAAGAAGGUUUUCGGAUCGUAAAACUCUGUUGUUAGAGAAGAACAAGUGGGAGAGUAACUGUUCCCGCCUUGACGGUAUCUAACCAGAAAGCCACGGCUAACUACGUGCCAGCCGCCGCCGUAAGAC